rnacentral:rRNA from 1 species
UACGGAGGGUGCAAGCAUUAAUCGGAUUUAUUGGGCGUAAAGGGCGCGUAGGCUGCCGCAUAAGUCAGAUGUGAAAUCCUGGGGCUUAACCUCAGAACAGCAUUUGAAACUGUGCGGCUAGAGGGUAGUCGGAGAAAACGGAAUUCCACAAGUAGCGGUGAAAUGCGUAGAUAUGUGGAAGAACAUCUGUGGCGAAGGCGGUUUUCUAGAUUAUUCCUGACGCUGAGGCGCGAAAGCAAGGGGAGCAAACAGG